CUCUCACUCUCACUUACAGCCUGCGAGCACUAUUUCAAGCCUCCAUCAGAAGCAGCGAAGGAGAGCAAGUCACAGAGGUCGAGGGGGAGGGGCCGCAGACAGGAUCUGGAGUUCAAGUGCAUGUGGAGAAAAUGACCUGGAAGAGAGGGAGAGAGCGAGAGCCUGGACAACAUAGUCUGGAAUAUCCUCUUCCAUUCCAGUUGCAGAUAUUUGCCCUGGAAUGAAGAAGAUCACAGUUUCUUCUUUCACUGGAAGAAGUGGCAGUUACAUAAGAAAGCAAGUAAAAAAUGCUGAGGGACGAACAUUUGGACUGGUCGUUGUUAUUCCUUCUCCGGGAAAGGAAUAAGGGAACGAUAAAUACAAGAUAAAUACAUAAAAACGUAUGUAUGCACAUUUUACAAUUGAAAUACAAUAUGUAUAUUUUCCUACACAAUGAUAUGACAAAAAUAAUAUUGUGCAUAAAGUAAAUGAAGC
rnacentral:lncRNA from 1 species